rnacentral:rRNA from 2 species
AUGAAGAGCGUAGCGAAAUGUGAUAUUUAAUGUGAAUUGCAGAAUUUUGUGAGCUAUCUAGUCUUUUAACGCAAGUUGCGCUUCAUGGCAUUAGAUUGAGGGCACUUCUGCCCAAAUGCCA